GGGGGUGCACCGGUUUCGACGGAUAUGGGAAUGCAUUGGCUGCAUGUGGGUGUGAAGGCGCCCUAAGCUGACAAAAAAAAUAACUGCAAAACGUGAAGAAGACGAACAGUCUGAAAACGAACAGUUUGCACUUGCUGCGUAAGUAGCGUGCACGGAACUCAUGGGGUGCUGUUCCUAACUUUAUGAUGUUCUGACGCCAACAGGAACUUGAUUCAUGGUGCUUCUGGCCACCAUGUUUGACGUUCAGUCAGAAUAAGAUGCAGACGCUUGUUAUGCUGCUACCUGCUUCCGACAAAUACCUCGCAUAACUAAACAUGUAGACGCUUCUGGAUUACAUACCCGGACGCGGGUUCAAUUCCCGCCAUCUCCA
rnacentral:tmRNA from 1 species